rnacentral:rRNA from 1 species
UACAGAGGGGGCAAGCGUUGUUCGGAAUUACUGGGCGUAAAGGGCGCGUAGGUGGCCUUCUAAGUUGAACGUGAAAUCCCUGGGCUCAACCCAGGAACUGCGUCCAAGACUGGGAGGCUUGAAUCCGGGAGAGGGAUGCGGAAUUCCAGGUGUAGCGGUGAAAUGCGUAGAUAUCUGGAGGAACACCGGUGGCGAAGGCGGCAUCCUGGACCGGGACUGACACUGAGGCGCGAAAGCCAGGGGAGCAAACGGG